rnacentral:lncRNA from 1 species
CCCGCGCUCCUCCGGGCAGAGCGCGUGUGGCGGCCGAGCACAUGGGCCCGCGGGCCGGGCGGGCUCGGGGCGGCCGGGACGAGGAGGGGCGACGACGAGCUGCGAGCAAAGAUGUGCCCCGGGACCCCCGGCACCUUCCAGUGGAUUUCCUUGCGGAAAGGAUGUUGGCGGUCCCUGUGACCUGUGGAGACACGGCCAGAUCUGCCCUCCAGCCUGAUCUUUUGGCCAGAAGGAGAUUAAAAAGAUGCCCCUCAAGAUGGCUGUGCCUGUCAGCUGCAUGGAGCUUCGUUCAAGUAUUUUCUGAGCCUGAUGGAUUUACAGUGAUCUUCAGUGGUCUGGGGAAUAACGCUGGUGGAACCAUGCACUGGAAUGACACACGCCCGGCACAUUUCAGGAUACUAAAAGUGGUUUUAAGGGAGGCUGUGGCUGAAUGCCUCAUGGAUUCUUACAGCUUGGAUGUCCAUGGGGGACGAAGGACUGCAGCUGGCUGAGAGGGUUGAGAUCUCUGUUUACUUAGAUCUCUGCCAACUUCCUUUGGGUCUCCCUAUGGAAUGUAAGACCCCGACUCUUCCUGGUGAAGCAUCUGAUGCACGUUCCAUCCGGCGCUCAGCUGGGCUUGAGCUGACCAUACUCCCUGGAGCCUUCUCCCGAGGUGCGCGGGUGACCUUGGCACAUACAGCCAUCAUGAUGGUACUUUAAGUGGAGGCUGAAUCAUCUCCCCUUUGAGCUGCUUGGCACGUGGCUCCCUUGGUGUUCCCCUUUUACUGCCAGGACACUGAGAUUUGGAGAGAAUCCUGUUACACCUGGGAUUUAGGCACUUUCAAUCUGAAAAAAUACAUAUCCUUUCAGCACUCUGGACGGACUUGAGAACUGUCCUUACGUGACCUAAAGCUGGAGUAUUUUGAGAUUGGAGAAUUAAGGCCAACAGAGAUUUUGAGAAACACAUUGAAGGAUCUGUUAACACUUGAUAUACCCAAUAAAAGCAGUGGUUGUGCCAGUGCUGAUCUGUCUUGAUGUGAAUGUGAACAAUGGGAACCUGAGCUGAGCAGUUAAUGCUAGGGUGACAGAAACUGGACCUCUCCCAAGACAUGUGACAGAGUAAUACAGCAGCCAACUUCUUCGCCAAAUUAAAGUUUUACAAGAUUUAACCUGUCAUCAAGACCUGGGAUUUUGGUGAGCCAGUCUUGGUGCUCUGUGUUCACCUGGUUCAUCUGAGGAGCUGCAUCUACCCUGCCCAUGCCAUAGAUCCUGCCCUGUUUGCUUCUCCUGUUGCUGCUAGUGGACAUGAGGUAACCACAGCCUAGUUCUGUGAUAAGCUCUUCACACCUGUACCCAUAUGGACUGUGGGAGAGUUUCUCUGAUAUGGACUGUGAUGCGGAUCUUGGACAUGAUACCUGGAUGUGCAGCAGCCAUCUGGUAAUUAUGAGGUGACAAGUCAAUAGACUGAGAUGGUGGAGCAGCAAAGAUAGAAAAGAAGGACAGAAUAACGGGCUCCCAGAUUCACAAGCCCCACCAAGAGGAUCACCCCAGGAACGCUUGGAGGCUGAGGAGUUCACUGAGGCUACUGCAUCUUGAGACUCAGGAUGAAGACCCAGCUUGGGGCUGUCAAAGGUUUUUUGCAUGUCUGACACCCAUGACUCCACCUGGACCUUAUGGCUCCACCCAGAAGCAAUUCAGCCCAACAGGAGGACAGCUUCAACCCAUUACGAUUUCAUCUCUGCCCCAACCACUCAGCAGCAAGCACCUGUUACCUGUCCACCCCCACCCCUUCCCCCAAACUGCCUUUGAAAAAUCCCUAACCUAUGAGCUUUGAAUAAGAUGAGUACGAACUUCAUCGCCCACGUGGCGUGGCCGGCCUCGUGUCUAUUAAAUUCUUUUUCUACUACAA